rnacentral:tRNA from 1 species
GUGAUUGGUGGCGGUGCAGGGAUUUGAACCCUGGAAACUGAUUUGCCAAAUGUUGGCGGUUCAAAUCCGUCCGUGGGCUCCA